GAGGAGACCUCGGGCAGUUGCGGGAAUGUCAGGGCCGGUUAUCUGCCGUGGGACUGCGCACCAUGGCUGGACUCCCAGCUCCUCCGUGUGAUCUUGGGCGCCCCUCAGACACCGAACUGAAUGUCCGGGUAAAGUGAGGCUGAUGGGUAAAACCCGCUGCUGUGGUUCCAAGGACUGAAAGAGGAACGUGGAAAGCGCACAUGAUAGGAGUUUGAUGCUUCUGCACCAGCUUUCGCCAUACGCAGCCCAUAAGCCAGACUCACAGAGAAGAGGAAAAAGGGGGAAAACAGAUAAAGCCAUUUUCUGCUAUCAGCUGGCAACAAUCGCCUUUUUAUUUCCUUUUCUUUCCCAUACAGACUCUCAGCCCCUUAGCCUCAGGGGCCGGCACUUCUUUCUGGCCUUCAUGCCAAGCCCCUCACCUCCUGGAGAAGCAAAUAAGCUUUACUUAAAACUAUUCUAAUCUUUGUGUUACGCCAUGGGGUCCUGGUGUGGUUUGAAUGUGCUUCCCCAAGUUCAUGUGCUGGAAACUGAAUCCCCAAGGGGACGGCGUUGAGGGUGGGACUUUUCCAGGGGAUGAAGCCUUUAGGGUGCCCUCCUCCCAGAGGGCUCAACACCCCUGCAAGGAGCUUGGUCGGUGAAACAGACCUUCGAUAACCGGGUGCAAGACAAGAACCAUGGUAAGGAAUUCCUUAAAUUCCUUUGAUUUCUACACAAGCAAGACAAAAUGAUUUCUGAAUUAAGCUCUCCAAGUAUGUCUCUCACUAUCUCUUGUGAUUCCAAAUAAAGGCAAAUGCACCAACA